rnacentral:misc_RNA from 1 species
GAUGAAGAACGCAGCGAAAUGCGAUACUUGGUGUGAAUUGCAGAAUCCCGUGAACCAUCGAGUCUUUGAACGCAAGUUGCGCCCGAAGCCAUUAGGCCGAGGGCACGCCUGCCUGGGUGUCACACGUCGUUGCCCCCCCAUCUACUCCUUCGGGAUUGCGGGGGGCGGAUGAUGGCCUCCCGUGCGCCUCGUCGCGCGGUUGGCAUAAAUGCCAAGUCCUCGGCGACGCACGCCACGACAAUCGGUGGUUGCGAAACCUCGGUUGCCCGUCGUGUGCGGUCGUCGCGCAUCGAGGGCUCGAAAAAAUUGCCGGGCUCCGGCUCGGCUUUCAACGCGACCCCAGGUCAGGCGGGGUUACCCGCUGAAUUUAAGCAUAUCAAUAGCGGAGGA